CAGGCUGGCAGCUUACAAGCCAACCGGCGGCGGUAAUGGAUGAGACGGCGGCGGAAGAUUGAGGAUGUCCGCCUCACCUCGGAGGGCAAAGCCAUCAGGGGGUUCAAGUGUCGCCUUCAAGACAACAAUCAGGAAGUAGCAGAAAGACCUAGUAGGUGUCGUUUUGAGGGCAGAUGAAGACGUGGAAGCAGGCAGUCAAAGCCCAGAAGCUGCUUCAUCUCCACCGUGAAGUCACACGCUGACAUUGUUGGCAUCUUUUGGCUUUGUCCUCACAAGAUCCUCUCCAAGGUCUUCAUAUCUCAACAUCCCAG